CUCAACGUCAUGAUGACGUACUGUUUUAACGAAGUUGAGAAAGACGCGCUAUCCGCCAUUUUCUGCACGAAAAGUUGCUGAUCAUACAAGAAAAGACGAAGGAGCCUGCAUUUGAACGAAAACAGAUGGACUUUAUGGACUGCAAAUAAUGAAUUGAACAACAACCAAAGGAUGAGGACAGCAGCAUGGCUGGGCCUGCUGUGGUACAUGCAAGAGACCCCUUCAAAAUUCAUUAAGAGAUGUGCAAGCCCAGUGACUGAAGAGGAUGGGAUCAAGGGUGUGGUGAUUGGAAUCCUAGUGGUUGCGGAAAACGUGAUGAAACCUCUCCCAGCCUUCUAUGACGUUGCCCUGGUGAUUGAGAAAGAAGU